rnacentral:rRNA from 1 species
UCAAGCCAAGUUCCCGGAGGAGAUAACCCAGCUCAUUAUGCUAGAGCACGUUUUCAAUGUGCUCCCCAACAACAAGGCGACGACGCAUUCGUAUGUCAAUCCAUAUCAACUUUUGAUGCCAUUUACUGCGCCUACCAUGGUGACCACGGGUAACGGGGAAUCAGGGUUCGAUUCCGUACAGGGACCCUGACAAACGGCUACCACAUGCAAGGAAGGCAGCAGGCGUGCAAAUGACCCACUACCGAUGCAGGGAGGUA